UACAGAGGUGGCAAGCGUUGUUCGGAAUUAUUGGGCGUAAAGAGCGUGUAGGCGGUCCGGUAAGUCAGCUGUGAAAGUCAAGGGCUCAACCCUUGAAUGCCGGUUGAUACUGUCGGGCUAGAGUCCGGAAGAGGCGAGUGGAAUUCCCGGUGUAGCGGUGAAAUGCGCAGAUAUCGGGAGGAACACCAAUGGCGAGGGCAGCUCGCUGGGACGGUACUGACGCUGAGGCGCGAAAGCUAGGGGAGCAAACGGG
rnacentral:rRNA from 1 species